GAUUUUGGCAAAGGGUCAGUGCAUCCGGCUGUGAACCAGAAGGUUGGUGGUUCGAGCCCACCCAGGGACU
rnacentral:tRNA from 1 species